rnacentral:rRNA from 1 species
UACGGAGGGUGCGAGCGUUAAUCGGAAUCACUGGGCGUAAAGCGCACGUAGGCGGUCGGGUAAGUCAGAUGUGAAAGCCCUCGGCUCAACCGGGGAACUGCAUUUGAUACUGCCUGACUUGAGUCCUGGAGAGGGUGGCGGAAUUCCGGGUGUAGGAGUGAAAUCCGUAGAUAUCCGGAGGAACACCAGUGGCGAAGGCGGCCACCUGGACAGGUACUGACGCUGAGGUGCGAAAGCGUGGGGAGCAAAC